UACGAAGGGGGCUAGCGUUGCUCGGAAUCACUGGGCGUAAAGGGUGCGUAGACGGGUCUUUAAGUCAGGGGUGAAAUCCUGGAGCUCAACUCCAGAACUGCCUUUGAUACUGAGGAUCUUGAGUCCGGGAGAGGUGAGUGGAACUCCGAGUGUAGAGGUGAAAUUCGUAGAUAUUCGGAAGAACACCAGUGGCGAAGGCGGCUCACUGGCCCGGUACUGACGCUGAGGUGCGAAAGCGUGGGGAGCAAACAGG
rnacentral:rRNA from 1 species